rnacentral:misc_RNA from 1 species
AGAGCCACCAGCAUGGAUGAAGAUUCACCCAGUCUUUCACAGCAGCAGAUUGAAGCCCUAUCAUGCAGAUCAAUCAGAUGCCAGCCGCAACAAAUCUUCCUGACCAGCGUUCACCCGCGCACCACCAAUCAACCAAGGAGUAGAGGAGAUCCUAGCAGAACGAGUCGUCCAAACAACCAAGCGUCCACCAUACAAGGAGUACCUAGUCAAAUGGAAAGGCUUAAGUGCAGAAGAGACCACCAAGGAGAAGAAGACAGCUCUCCAUGAUCAUGCGUAGAAGAUUCAAGAGUUCUUACAAGCCCAGUCAACGGGGA